rnacentral:rRNA from 1 species
UGGGGAAUUUUGCACAAUGGGGGAAACCCUGAUGCAGCGACGCCGCGUGAUUUAGAAGGCCUUCGGGUUGUAAAAAUCUUUUCUAUGGGAAGAAAAUGACAGUACCAUAGGAAUAAGGACCGGCUAAUUACGUGCCAGCAGCCGCGGUAAUACGUAAGGUCCGAGCGUUGUCCGGAAUCAUUGGGCGUAAAGGGUACGUAGGCGGGUAAGCAAGUUAGAAGUGAAAUCCUAUAGCUCAACUAUAGUAAGCUUUUAAAACUGCUCAUCUUGAGGUAUGGAAGGGAAAGUGGAAUUCCUAGUGUAGCGGUGAAAUGCGCACAUAUUAGGAGGAAUACCGGUGGCGAAGGCGACUUUCUGGCCAUAACCUGACGCUGAGGUACGAAAGCGUGGGUAGCAAACAGG